rnacentral:rRNA from 1 species
CCUACGGGUGGCAGCAGUGAGGAAUAUUGGUCAAUGGGCGGAAGCCUGAACCAGCCAAGUCGCGUGAGGGAAUAAGGCCCUACGGGUCGUAAACCUCUUUUGCCGGGGAGCAAGGGCCGGGACGAGUCCCGGUCCGGAGAGUACCCGGAGAAAAAGCAUCGGCUAACUCCGUGCCAGCAGACGCGGUAAUACGGAGGAUGCGAGCUUUAGCCGGAUUGAUGGGGUUUAAAGGGUGCUUAGGCGGGCUUUUAAGUCAGCGGUAAAAAUUCGGGGCCAAACCCCGCCCGGCCGUUGACACUGGGGGCCUUGAGUGGGCGAGAAGAAGGCGGAAUGCGUGGUGUAGCGGUGAAAUGCAUAGAUAUCACGCAGAACCCCGAUUGCGAAGGCAGCCUUCCGGCGCCCUACUGACGCUGAGGCACGAAAGUGCGGGGAUCGAACAGGAUUAGAUACCCGGGUAGUC